rnacentral:rRNA from 1 species
AGGGUGCGAGCGUUAAUCGGAAUUACUGGGCGUAAAGCGUGCGCAGGCGGGGAUGUAAGACAGGUGUGAAAUCCCCGGGCUUAACCUGGGAACUGCAUUUGUGACUGCAUCGCUGGAGUGCGGCAGAGGGGGAUGGAAUUCCGCGUGUAGCAGUGAAAUGCGUAGAUAUGCGGAGGAACACCGAUGGCGAAGGCAAUCCCCUGGGCCUGCACUGACGCUCAUGCACGAAAGCGUGGGGAGCAAACAGG